GAUCCUAGCUCAGGAUGAACGCUGGCGGCGUGCUUAACACAUGCAAGUCGAACGAAGCACCUUGAUUUGAUUCUUCGGAUGAAGAUCUUGGUGACUGAGUGGCGGACGGGUGAGUAACGCGUGGGUAACCUGCCUCAUACAGGGGGAUAACAGUUAGAAAUGACUGCUAAUACCGCAUAAGACCACAGCACCGCAUGGUGCAGGGGUAAAAACUCCGGUGGUAUGAGAUGGAUCCG
rnacentral:rRNA from 1 species